rnacentral:rRNA from 1 species
UACGGGGGGAGCAAGCGUUGUUCGGAUUUACUGGGCGUAAAGGGCGCGUAGGCGGCCACCGCAAGUCGACUGUGAAAUCUCCGGGCUUAACCCGGAAAGGUCAGCCGAUACUGCGGGGCUAGAGUGCGGAAGGGGCAACUGGAAUUCUCGGUGUAGCGGUGAAAUGCGUAGAUAUCGAGAGGAACACCUGCGGCGAAGGCGGGUUGCUGGGCCGACACUGACGCUGAGGCGCGAAAGCUAGGGGAGCAAACGGG